GGUUGUUUGGCCGAGCGGUCUAAGGCGCCUGAUUCAAGGAAAAUAAAUAAUCUUUGCCUGUAAAACAUUACGGGAAUACUCAGGUAUCGUAAGAUGCAAGAGUUCGAAUCUCUUAGCAACCA
rnacentral:tRNA from 1 species